GGAGGUGUCGCAUAGUUGGUCCAGUGCGCCGUCCUGCUAAGACGGAGUGCCGUAAGGUACACGUGGGUUCGAAUCCCACCACCUCCG
rfam:Microgenomates (Woesebacteria) bacterium GW2011_GWB1_38_8 TT08_C0005, whole genome shotgun sequence.